UUCUAGCCCAGAUUGCAGCAUUUGUUUGAGCUCAUUUUCUAGUUUCGGCGGCGGCGAAGCCGCCGCCGAAACUAGAAAAUAGCGAGUGCGGAAAGCGGGAAACAGC
rnacentral:misc_RNA from 1 species